UGGGGAAUUUUGGACAAUGGGGGCAACCCUGAUCCAGCCAUGCCGCGUGCAGGAUGAAGGUCUUCGGAUUGUAAACUGCUUUUGUCAGGGAAGAAAAGGUCUGUGUUAAUACCAUAGACUGCUGACGGUACCUGAAGAAUAAGCACCGGCUAACUACGUGCCAGCAGCCGCGGUAAUACGUAGGGUGCAAGCGUUAAUCGGAAUUACUGGGCGUAAAGCGUGCGCAGGCGGUUCUGUAAGACAGAUGUGAAAUCCCCGGGCUCAACCUGGGAAUGGCAUUUGUGACUGCAGGACUAGAGUUCAUCAGAGGGGGGUGGAAUUCCAAGUGUAGCAGUGAAAUGCGUAGAUAUUUGGAAGAACACCAAUGGCGAAGGCAGCCCCCUGGGAUGCGACUGACGCUCAUGCACGAAAGCGUGGGGAGCAAACAGG
rnacentral:rRNA from 2 species